rnacentral:rRNA from 1 species
GACGGAGGAUGCAGGUGUUAUCCGGAAUCACUGGGCGUAAAGGGUCUGUAGGUGGUUUUUUAAGUCUGCUGUUAAAGCUUGAAGCUCAACUUCAAAAAUGCAUCGGAAACUAGAAGACUUGAGUAUGGUAGGGGUAGAGGGAAUUUCCAGUGAAGUGGUGAAAUGCGUAGAUAUUGGAAAGACCACCAAAGGCGAAGGCACUCUACUGGGCCACAACUGACACUGAGAGACGAAAGCUAGGGGAGCGAAUGGG